rnacentral:rRNA from 1 species
CCAGACUCCUACGGGAGGCAGCAGUGAGGAAUAUUGGUCAAUGGGCGGAAGCCUGAACCAGCUAAGUCGCGUGAGGGAAGAAGGCCCUACGGGUCGCAGACCUCUUUGGACGGGGAGCAAGGCCGCCGACGUGUCGGCGGAAGGAGAGUACCCGUAGAACAAGCAUCGACUAACUCCGUGCCAGCAGCCGCGGUAAUACGGAGGAUGCGAGCGUUAUCCGGAUUUAUUGGGUUUAAAAGGUGCGCAGGCGGAACGGCAAGCCGGCGGUCAAAUCGCGGGGCUCAACCCCGGCCAGCCGUCGGAACUGCCGGGCUAGAGUGGGCGAGAAGUAUGCGGAAUGCGUGGUGUAGCGGUGAAAUGCAUAGAUAUCACGCAGAACUCCGAUUGCGAAGGCAGCAUACCGGCGCCCAACUGACGCUGAAGCACGAAAGCGUGGGUAUCGAACAGGAUUAGAUACCCGAGUAUU